rnacentral:misc_RNA from 1 species
UGACCUGAGUUCCAGUCCCG